rnacentral:rRNA from 1 species
GUACGGGGGGAGCAAGCGUUGUUCGGAUUUACUGGGCGUAAAGGGCGCGUAGGCGGCCACCGCAAGUCGACUGUGAAAUCUCCGGGCUUAACCCGGAAAGGUCAGCCGAUACUGCGGGGCUAGAGUGCAGAAGGGGCAACUGGGAAUUCUCGGUGUAGCGGUGAAAUGCGUAGAUAUCGAGAGGAACACCUGCGGCGAAGGCGGGUUGGCUGGGCUGACACUGACGCUGAGGCGCGAAAGCUAGGGGAGCGAACGGG